rnacentral:rRNA from 1 species
AUGCUGCUCACUGUCGUUUUGGUCGUUUUUUUUGUUACGAAAAAGGGAGGUGGAAAGUCAGUGCCAAAUGCAUGGCAAUCCUUGGUCGAGCUUAUUUAUGAUUUCAUGCUGAACCUGGUAAACGAACAAAUAGGUGGUCUUUCCGGAAAUGUGAAACAAAAGUUUUUCCCUCGCAUCUCGGUCACUUUUACUUUUUCGUUAUUUCGUAAUCCCCAGGGAGAUCUUGGUCCCUUAUUUAUAGUUCUAGAAUUAACCGGUCUGGAAUUAGGUGUAGCUAUAUCACAAGCUCAUGUUUCUAUGAUCUCAAUUUGUAUUUACUUGAAUGAUGAUACAAAUCUCCAUCAAAAUGAGUCAUUUCAUAAUUGA